CCCCACUGGGGCAGGAGGAGGCGCUUCCGCUACCGCCGCCGCUCGGGGACAGUGCGGCCAACACUGAGGCGGCGGCGGAAUUCUAACAUGGUGCCCUUCUUAUCCAGUUAAGUUACACAAAGUAAAUGCAUGUCCCUAAGCAAUGUCCCUGGAGAAGCAACAUGAAAAAAUGAAAAAGGCCUCCAUUUCCUCAACUUUAUGCAUGUAGCAUCCUUUCUGGGGCUACCUCACCAGCUCAAAACUUGAAGGUUGCUAGCCGUGUCGCAGUAGGGCCCAACUACUU